GACAUCCAUCAGACCUGACAUAAAGAAGGCAGACUCUAAAAAUUAGAGAAGAGGCAAUGGAGCUCUUGAUUAGAUGGUGAGGCAGGGAAAGGGUUUGGGAUCAUUCCUUCAUCCCUGAGGUUGAAAGAUAUGUGAGUGAGAGAUUUGGCAGCUUUAAAAGAGACCUGAAGCAGAAGGAGGUUGUGACUCCCUUGAAGACAAGGCGACAAAAAAAGUGAAGUCGUGGUGAGAUCCUGAUAAAGGGCCAGAAGAAAUGUGAUGGCGAGUACCACAUGGCCAAGCGCUGAUGAGUCCUUUUGCUACGUGUUCCUAAAUGAAUGAGACGUGAGCGAUGGAUGGAGGGCUGGCUUGAUGUACAUCUGAAGAUAUUUGUGUGAAUAGAAUAUUGUAGUGAGUGCAGCCAGAGCCAUGCAUGCAGCAAUCAACUUUCUGCCAAAGGCCCAGUGCACACACUGCACACAAGGACCAGUGUAUAUGCUGCACUCAGGACCAGUGUCCACGAUGCAUACAAGGACCAGUGUCCACGAUGUACACAAGGACCAGGGCCCAUGCUGCACACUGCUGAUACCAUCCAUCCUUACCAUCGACUCACAGAGCAAAGCUCAUCCAUUUCUUCUGCAAAACAUGCUAAUUUAGCAUACAUUUUUGCUUAUCAAUAACAUAGUCAAUAAUCAGACUUGCCAUGCUCAUAAAGAACUGUAAGUAGCAAUGACUGAAAGAAAAACUCAUUAACGAACACAAAUUUUGAGGAAUUCAAUUUAGCCAUUUUCCUUUUAAUUUUGUUUCUGAUUUUGGGUCUGUGUUGAAGCCAUAUCAGAAGCUCAUCUAUCUAUAAUUGUGUCGUUUAUAGUCCGCCUUUGUGGUUUCUCCCAGUUUUUCCCUUUCCUCUCUGGAGUACCACUCCCAUCUCACUCCAGUUAUGCCGACAGUAAAAGCCCACCCAGACACCUGCAGAUUUAUGUCCACCUUUGUUUAUUUCUGGCAUUGAUGACUCUCUUGAUACAUCCGGGACUUAGCCUGUCACCCUCCCUUUUGGUUCAGAGUUCCCCCUUGACAUUUACCCAUCUUGAACUUUUUUUUUAAGAUGAGAACCUAAAUUACCAAAUACUUUUUAGUGCAUUUUUUACAGAAGGGGUCAGAAAGAGGCACACACCAAGAAGGGAUUUGACUACACUCAGAGUUGCCUGCCCCUUCACAAAUCUUGAUAACAAAAUCAUCCUAGAGGUCUUGUUCCUCCUUAAGUUCAGUCAGCGACAUCCUGCAGUGGUCAUCUUGGGGCACAUUUAUUUUUGGUAGCUACUGCUCUGGUUUAUGUCUGGAUCAGUGGUGUUCUCUCCAAGCCUUUCAAGGCCACUUCACACUUUGCUGAGCUCUUCAAGGGCUAAGUCUGAGCAUUUUGUUAGAAAUUACAAGUCCUGGAGUUGGAGACAUGGCUCAGUGGUUACAAGCGCUUGCUGCUCUUGCAGAGGACCUGAGUUCCAUUCUCAGCACCCACAGGUGUCUCACAACUAUCCGUACAUCUAGUUGCAGGGGAUCUGAUGCCCUCUUCUGGCUUCUCAGGUACUGCGUGAAUGUGGAGCACUUAACAUGUAAGCCAAACACUGGUACACAUACACAAACAACAACAACAACAACAACAACACCUUAACAACAAAAAAGAAAUCACAUAUCUUGCCCGAGAGAAAAGGACAAUACGCUCAUCUGCUCUCUUAUAAACCAGCAUUCGUUUGCCACAGAGACGAUGGCUAGGACUUUCACUCAUUUUUAUGGUCUGAUCUUAGUGGGAUUCUGAGUAGGGAAGGAAAUUCUCAAAGCAGCUGUUGCUACGGAGCUUGCCUCCUGAAGGAAAAGGAUUGAUUGCCCUGGUAAUUGUAUCCUCCAUGGGAGAAGCACAGUUGUUAUUCUCAUCCGUAGCCAACUAAUCACCCUAAAUUUUACUGAGCUAAUUGUCUCCAUGGAUAUCAUCUGCAAUGAGAGACAUCCCCGACCUGGCUUGGUCAGUCUCUGUGGAAACUUCUGGUCUCAGCUGUGGUUGCCAGCAAACCUCAACAGUAGAUGGAGAAGGCCCUUGGGAUUCCAGCAAAUCCUUUAAGGAGAAUGACUUUUUUUUAACAGCACGGGUCAAAGGAAAUUGAAUUUACUUUAGAGAUAUUUGCAUCUUUAUAAAAUGGAAAACCUUCUGAUAUCCCCAUUUCAUGGAUCAGAAACACUGAGGCUUGUACUUACGGAAACUUAAAUAAGCCUCAUAGAAAACGCCAUCCACAAAAAGAUGACUUAGGCACCGGAAAGAGCUAAUGAGCCUGACACUUUAGUUCUAUUUAAUUAGAGAUAUGAUGUCUCACAGUAAAUCUAUCAACUCCGUGGCCCAACUCAUUAAAAUGUAUG
rnacentral:lncRNA from 1 species